rnacentral:tRNA from 1 species
GAAGAUUAAAAUUCUUCCUAGCGCU